rnacentral:rRNA from 1 species
AUGAGAAUCGUUUUCACCCUCCCUUCGCGUAGAAUGAGCGGAAUUGAUAGAGGCAUUGAAAGGGACUAUUUCGGUAGUCAGUUUCUAUCAACCAUUAUUGUAAAUUGAAAAAUUUACAGUGACGCUGUAUUUAUUGCGGAGAUUCGUCUCGGACAGUGCUCCCCUUUCAUUGAGCGCUCGAUGGGAUAACUUAUUAACUUAUUUCACCUUUUUGCUAGUUGACUUUUAUAUGUUGUUCUUUGCGCUUGCGUAAGGUUCACACGUUUAAUUAUUUGAACGUUAAAAAUACAACUCUUAGCAAUGGAUAUCUUGGUUCUCGCAACGAUGAAGGACGCAGCGAAAUGCGAUACGUAAUGCGAAUUGCAGAAUUCAGUGAAUCAUCAAAUCUUUGAACGCAAAUUGCGCUUCUGGGUAGCCCUAGGAGCACGCCUCUCUCAGUAUCGGUUCAACUAUCUCUCAGCAGCGUGUUUGCAUUUAAGUUUCGGCUUAUUUGUUUAUGCGUGUUGGCUGGAUAAUGAGAGUCUGUAUGCUUGCGUGCAGUCUCUUUAAGUACAUGGAGUAAAACAAUAACUUUCGAUCAGUGCUGCUUAGGCUGCUAGCUUAUUGCUGACUGUUGCUCGAUAGUGACGUGAAUAUUGGCCUUCGUGGUCUUCCUUUUACGUGUAUCUAUUGAAUAACAUUUAGUUAGUGAUAGGCGAACGAAUGAAAGACUGUUUUACGUGAGAAAACCAUACGAUUUGUAGAACUUUGUUCUAUGAGUCUGAAUUUUGAUCUGAGAUGAAGCGAGACAACCCCCUGAAUUUAAGCAUAUUAAUAA